rnacentral:rRNA from 1 species
GUCCACGCCCUAAACGAUGCUCACUUGCUGUUCCUCUUUCGGGGGGAGUGGCGUAGGGAAACCGGUAAGUGAGCCACCUGGGGAGUACGCCCGCAAGGGUGAAACUCAAAGGAAUUGACGGGGGUCCGCACAAGCGGUGGAGCUUGUGGUUUAAUUCGAUGAUACGCGAGGAACCUUACCUGGGCUAGAAUGUAAUUGGAAUAUGGAUGAAAGUUCAUAGCCUUUCGGGGCCGGUUACAAGGUGCUGCAUGGCUGUCGU